UACGUAGGGAGCAAGCGUUGUCCGGAAUCAUUGGGCGUAAAGCGCGCGUAGGUGGCUCCAUAAGUCCGUUGUGAAAGUCAAAGGCUCAACCUUUGAAAGCCGCAUGGAUACUGUGGAGCUAGAGUACGGAAGAGGCGAGUGGAAUUCCUGGUGUAGCGGUGAAAUGCGCAGAUAUCAGGAGGAACACCAAUGGCGAAGGCAGCUCGCUGGGACGUGACUGACGCUGAGACGCGAAAGCGUGGGGGAGCAAACAGG
rnacentral:rRNA from 1 species